rnacentral:rRNA from 1 species
CCGUUCGGGGGUAAACGGACAGAGCCCGUGAAUCCGGGCGCGCGGAAUUCAGGACCGACGAGCGCGCGACGCGCCCUCCUCUUCGCGGGGGGGGGUCGUCGCGCGAGCGUCGAUUCGAUAUUUCCGCCGCCGACCCGCUUACUAAACGGGUGCGGACGUCGCGACCCGUUCGCCGCCGGUCUCACGGGGCGCGCAUCAAGUUCGUCGCGCGUUUUCGUCGCCGCGUCCUCUUUCGGGGGGGCGCGAACGGCGGCGCGCGGCGAUGGCGCGCUUUUUCGCGGGCCGGCGUUUUGCGGACGGUAGCCUCGAGCGUGCGGGUAAUCGACGCGGCCGAUCGGCCGACGUUUCCCCGUCGUCGUCGUCGUUUCCUUUCACGAGGGCGGCGGCGGCGGCUGGGCGUUGGUCGGGCGCGCGCGUCGACGCCGGUCAGCGACGAAUCUUCGGGCCUCUUUCCGACCCGUCUUGAAACACGGACCAAGGAGUCUAACGUGCGCGCGAGUCGCGGGGUAUCCGAGUCGGUAACGCGAUUCGUCACGAUACGAAACCCGUGUGUACGUACGUUGUGCGAAGGCGUAAUGAAAGUGAAAGGCGCGCGCGUUUGCGCGCGCGCGUCGGGGAAGACGGCGUUUCCGAGUACACGUUUCUCGGUCGUACGGUACCGAGACCGGGCGCCCGCAUUCCCAGGGCGUCCCGCUCGUACGUCGGUGGCGCGGACGCGCGCGGUCGUUUCGGCGGCCGCGCGCGUCGACCGCCGACGAACUGGGGCGCACCUCUAGCGUGCACGUUGGUACCCGAAAGAUGGUGAACUAUGCCCGGCCAGGAUGAAGUCAGGGGAAACCCUGAUGGAGGUCCGCAGCGAUUCUGACGUGCAAAUCGAUCGUCUGAGCUGGGUAUAGG